rnacentral:rRNA from 1 species
GUGGCAAACGGGUGAGUAACACGUGGGUGACCUGCCUUCGAGCGGGGGAUAACGUCCCGAAAGGGACGCUAAUACCGCAUAAUAUCCCGCCUUUUAAGAGGUGGUGAUCAAAGCCGGGGAUUCGCAAGGACCUGGCACUUGAAGAGGGGCCCGCGCCUGAUUAGCUAGUUGGUGGGGUAAUGGCCUACCAAGGCAACGAUCAGUAUCCGGCCUGAGAGGGCGGACGGACACACUGGGACUGAGACACGGCCCAGACUCCUACGGGAGGCAGCAGUGGGGAAUUGUUCGCAAUGGGCGCAAGCCUGACGACGCAACGCCGCGUGGAGGAUGAAGACCUUCGGGUCGUAAACUCCUUUCGAUCGAGACGAAUGUUUUUCGGGUGAAUAAUCCGGAAAAGUGACGGUACCGAGAGAAGAAGCCCCGGCUAACUCUGUGCCAGCAGCCGCGGUAAUGCAGGGGGGGCAAGCGUUGUUCGGAAUUACUGGGCGUAAAGGGCUUGUAGGUGGCCAACUAAGUCAGACGUGAAAUCCCUCAGCUUAACUGGGGAACUGCGUCUGAUACUGGAUGGCUUGAGUUUGGGAGAGGGGUGCGGAAUUCCAGGUGUAGCGGUGAAAUGCGUAGAUAUCUGGAGGAACACCGGUGGCGAAGGCG